rnacentral:rRNA from 1 species
CGGAGGAUCCAAGCGUUAUCCGGAUUUAUUGGGUUUAAAGGGUGCGUAGGCGGCCUGUUAAGUCAGGGGUGAAAGACGGUAGCUCAACUAUCGCAGUGCCCUUGAUACUGAUGGGCUUGAAUGGACUAGAGGUAGGCGGAAUGAGACAAGUAGCGGUGAAAUGCAUAGAUAUGUCUCAGAACACCGAUUGCGAAGGCAGCUUACUAUGGUCCUAUUGACGCUGAGGCACGAAAGCGUGGGGAUCAAACAGGAUU